GUUUGCCCGGAAACCGGGAAAGGGAAUAACACUCGAAAUGUAUAUAAGAAAUACUCAAGUUAAUAAAAAAAAAAUUUAAAAAAAAAAAGUGGGUAGAGAAGGAGGAUUGGAGGACCUGCAUUUGCAGACGUUGCACAAAGGUAUGAGAAAGUAGAGCGUCUUAGACAAAAGGACGGAGCUAUUCAGGAGGGUAAGAUCCCAACUGUAAUGGGUAUUUGUCUUCUUAAGCAGUAUGGAUGCAAUUUUGUUGGACCCUAAGCUCAGCAUUCUUGAGGCUUUCUAGAAGGGCUCUCGUCAGACUCCCAUCCCAGACCAACUGUCUCUGAAACACAAGGUGGAACCUAGACAAUUACUCUAGCGAAUCCUCCAGCUACUGUUCAUGGACACUGAGGGGUAGGAACCAUUGACCAAUGAUGGCUUGAUAGAAAAACUAAGCACAUGCAGAGAAACCAUUCUCUUCCCACAGAGCAAAUGACGAGGUUCUAUUUUCAAAUGAAAGAAUUGCUUAUGCAUGUGAAAGGUGGAAGUCAGAGGAGGGAUGACUGCAGAGAGACUGUUAGGAGACCAUGUAUGGCAUGUGCCAAAUAAAGGCAAGGAAAAUGGCAGUCAGGGUGGCAGGAAGGGCAGACUUGUGAGACUGCGCUGACAGAUAUGACAGCUGCAUGUGGGAGGCAGUGGAGGGUUAAUGUCCAGGGUGACCUAUUAAGUAGCAGUUGCCUUGUGAGUGUUGUUCAGAUGCACUUCUGGGCAGCUCACCUAGACUUUGAUGCUUACACACGCCUCCCCUUUAGGGUGCUUUUGUGACUGCGGUUUAGAAAAGGGCCCUCUCCUAGUGACUGAUAAUGCACAAAAAAUGCAUGUGAGCACUUUCUGCCAAUGGCCCGCCCAAGAUCCAGGAUUUUAAGAACGAAGGAAACACAGUAAUCAGAAAGACCUACUAUCCGACUUCUCAGGGGCUGCGUGCGAUCCUGGGGCAGACAGGAAAUAUACAACCGUGGAACAUCCUGGGUUGCUAUGCAAUUUCAAAAACAAAAUGCUCAGAAGGAGAAAAACUGAUGAGCACACAUUGCAGUGACCCAGGAAAUAGCCUGGAGCAAAGGCAUGGAUAGCCAUGUGGGGCAGCGCUUUAGAAGGAUACCUGCUAUAACCAUGAGAUUUCACUCCUUUACAAAAGAUCCUUGCAUGUUCCCCAAGGUGUCCAGCUCACUAACGUUAAAGGCAGAUGCAAAGACUGCCUCAGACAGGAAGAUACGAAGGGGCAGCAGGACGUCAUGCAAUUGGGAUUCUGAGUCCAAUCCUAAAGCACAAAUAGACUGGAGAUAAAAAUGUGACCCAAACUUGGUAAAUCUGAAAUAAAGACUAAACUAAUUAAUAGUUUUGUAAGCUCACCUCUAAGCUUCAAUGAGGUACACUGCCAGAUGCUGACAUUUACGGCAACCUGGCUGAAAAACUGGCUGAAUUAUAUAGACACUGCAUAAAUAUUGUUUGCAAUUCUUCUACUGGUCUAACAUCAUUCAGAACAAAAGUUCAAAAGAAAAUGAUUGUCUUCAUAGGAAACCCCCAGCUUCCGUGGAAGGCUCCCAGAGGGUGAUCUAGUGACUGUCAUUAUUGUAAUUGACUUGAGUCUUGGAACCAUUCUCUAUGUCUUAAUUCUCUAAAGAAUUUAGACAGAUGCAUUUAUAUUCAAGCUUUAUGAAGCAUAGGCUUCAGAGUUGUCCCCUUUUAUGCAGCCCACUGAAAGGUGACCAUUGAGAGAAACUAUGGAAUAUUCUGCUUUCUUGAGGAGAAACUGGGUUUUGAAGGGAAACGUGUAUUCCAACUAUUCAUGGCCACUGCCUAAAGGGAGCUCGGAAAGAAUGUAAAUCUCUAAGCCACCAGUCACUUGUUAUUUCAUUUUUCAUUCAAAACAUAGUUGCUUCUAAAUGUUCUCUUUGCCUCUGAUUUUAUAUUUACAAUUAUUUUGUAAAAGGUCCAUGUACAGAUUCAUGCCCACCUAACCUGCCUAACUCUAAUUACUGAGCACAAUAUUCAACAAUGAAGUAAGUAGAAAACAUAGUCAGUGUUCAUUAGUCACAAAUGAGUUGUCCAUGAUAAUUUGUAUGCUUUUCUGGGAUAACAAUUCUGUCUAGGGUACCUUUAAGAUUUCUUUCUAUGGGGUUGGGGAUUUAGCUCAGUGGCAGAGUGCUUGCCCAGCAAGCGCAAGGCCCUGGGUUCGGUCCCCAGCUCUGAAAAAAAAAAAAAAAAAAAAAGAAAGAAAGAAAAGGGAAAAAAAAGAUUUCUUUUUAUGUGUACAGAAAGGAUGUUAACAUUCAGCAGGACUCUUAGAGACCUUCCACACACACUUUGUUUCGUAAUGAGUAGAAAGUCAGUUCCCUAGUUAAAUAUCAAUGGCCCUUGAAUUUUGACAUCUUUAUUCAGGACUCUUUCCUCUUUUUGUUUAUUUUUUUACUUUUUUUUUAAACUUUGGACAACAUGGGUAUCCCAGUCAGUAGAAACCGUGCUUCCCACUUUGAGUCUGGCUCUCCCUCUGAGCUAGCGAGUCACCCGCUGUGCUACACUCUCUCUCGAUGCUGGAACAAUAGCUGUUCAGUCAGGAGAGUACACGGCCCAUAGUCUAUAGUCUCCCGAGUUGUCAAAUGAUGACGUUCGCUCUGUCUGAUGUAGAAAAUGAAUUUUUUAUUUAGAAUAUUUCCAACUUACAGUGAGUUUCAGCUCCCCUAAUGAGCGGAGGGACAUCAACAAGAACUUGUUUCUAGGAGGCAGAAAACUUAAGGAGACUCAGACCUGUGUAGGUUUUGGAAUAGGUCAGAGGAGAGUUGGUGGGGAUUGUAUACACUGUGCUAGAAUAAAACUUCUACUUUGUUUCUCUUUUUGGCAAUCUAAGGUAACAACAAAAAGCCUUGCCUCUUUUUGCACUCAGUACAGAAAUGUGUGUGGUUUUUAAAGGGUAACGAUUUCAUAUUAUUCCAGUUUAUAUACAUUAAACAAUUUCUAAGAGCCUUUUAAGUCUAGGCAAGCAUGCUUCUAUAUUGCAGACUAAAGCAGAGGAUAUAGGUACGGUUUGGGACUGCUGGAAUUAGGGUUGCAGUAAUGUCCCCUCAGGGCUAGGACACCUCUUCAAAGCAGGCAUGUGCUCCCGAGAACACUUGGUGCCUGAAGACUUUGCAGUGACUGCAGUCUACACGGUGGCUCCAGGCUGAAACUGAACCCACUGUUAGCCCAUCCCCCAUCAGUCCGGAGCCAAGCCUUGAAAUAGCUCUGUUGCCGCCUUAAUGGCAUCUCGGACAGGAGCAAAUGUUCUCCACGGUGGCGCCUGUUGGCUCUAAUCAGAUAAAUUAAGGAGUUGAGCAUGUUUCCACCAUUUGGUUUGGUUUUAUUUUAGUCCCCAAGUCCCUUUGCUCCCAUUUCAAGGCUGACAUUUUCUCAUUGUGGAGGCCCCUGCUUUAUCACUGAAGAAGCUUCGAGUAGAAGCAUCACCUGUCUCACCCAUGCUGAGAUGCAACGUUUCCAGCAGACCAUUGCACGACUACACUUUGCUAUCACAAAGGCCAACUCUUCGUUUCACUGGGCAUGCUUCAACAUCCCCUUCACGAAGAAAUGGAUUCUCACUAGGCCUGAUAUCCUCCUAGUGGCAGAAGGCAUCCCAUAACUACAGUAGCUGCCAAGGAUGUCCUUCCGAGCUUAAGGAGUUGAGCAUGUUUGCACCAGUUGGCUUAGUUUCAUUUUAGUCUCCGAAUCCGUUUUUCCAAGCUGAACCAGAACCAACAGAUGACACCCUCUCUGUGCAUGUUCAUAAUUUCUCCUUUAAAACUGGAAGCAAUGUAAAAACAAGCAGAUGAGGAGGAAAAGGAAAGGCCAAUAGAGCUGACAGCCCUUGGCUUUGCCCUUCUCUGUGUCUGAUCCACUGAACUUCCCGUAAAUUGUCAAUCAACUAAUGAUUAGAGAAACAUUGUACUAAUCCAGUGAUUUCAUGAAUGAUCCAUCUACGAAAGGCUCUUUUCGCCUGGGGAUAGAAAUAAACUGCACUCAAGGCAAUGAUCAAUGCAGAAGUAGUAGGGUCAUUGAAAAGCUUGCAUUCCUGUUUGAUGCAGAGUUACAGAACACCACUUUUGCCCAGGACGGUCAGCUCCUAGGAUGUGGCUGUGGCACGAUUUUCACCUAUUCUCACCCUCUUCUUGUCAUCCGGGUGGUCUCCUUCUUCAUUUAAUAUAACUUCACAUGUGAUCACCGCCCCUUAAGACACGCAGUUCUCAACCCUCCUCCUACACAGCUUGUGCUGUUUCUGGAGAGGCUAACUCAUUCGGCUGGCAUUGUGCAAAGCAGGAAAUCAAUAAACAUUUAUUGAAUUAAUGCAGAAAAGACAAUUUUUCUUAUGAAACAUUCGAGUGGCUUAUUUUUAUUUAUUAACCCCUGAACUCAUCCAGUACAGUAUGAUGUGGAAAUUCUCACCACUUGUGAGAGUUUACGCCUGAGGAAGUGGAACAUUUGCCUGAAAAAAUGUUAUUUUCCAAGGAUAUACAAUGUUUCUACGGCUGAGGAAACACUGAACGGUUGUUUUUUAAAUUCAUUCAUUCAUUUAUUUAUUUUUACUUAUUCACUUUACAUCCUGCUCACUGCCUCCCUCCCUUUCACCCCCUCCCAAAGUCCUUCCCCCAUCCCCCCUCCCCUUCUCCUCUGAGCAGGUGGGGGUCCCUGGGAAUUCCCCACUAGAGACACUUCAAGUCUCUCGGGUUAUGCACAUCCUGUCCUAGUCAGAAAAGUCAGCCCAGCUAGAAGAACAUACAGGCAACAGCUUUUUGGGAUAGCCCCCACUUCAGUUUGAACUGUUACUCUUAAUCGCACUCAGGACCCUGCCUGCCUCCUCCCACCACACCAACAGAUCUUGAUAAGAUAGCUAUGUAACCUGCCUUCCAAACUGAGACACUUUGACCGUGAAAAUGCCAAACAUUCAGGACCUAACUUCUAGAUGCUCUACAGUUUGUUUGUCGCUGCACUAAGUCUGGAGGAGAGGAAAGCCAAUAAAAGUGUUAGCCUUUGUAGUUGACAUGGGAUGAUGUCAUCCCCAUAGGAAGUACCCUGGGAAAGACACAAUGUACUUCCGAUUUUUACUAUAUUACUUCCGAAAUUCCCAUUUCUUCUCUCACAUGUUUCUACCCUGGAUAGAAGCCCUGAGAAGCAAAUGCUGUGUUCUCAUGCAUGCCAGAAAGUGGUGACAUUGGGUGUUUUCUUUAGUUAUUCACUACAUUAUGACUUGAGACAGGUUCUCACAUCGAACCCGAAAAUCUCUGAUUGAGCUUAGCUGACUGGCAAGUGAACUUCAGGGAUGCCCCUGCCUCUCUCUCCCCAGUACUGGAGUCAUAAGGACACACCACCAUGGACAGAUUUUUACAUGGGUGCAAAGGAUAUGCGUUCAAGUCCUCAUGCUUGCCCAGCAAGCCCUUUACUGACUGAGCCAUCACCUAGCCCCUCACCUUUGAUAUAUGUGGGUUGAUGUCUACAUGCAGGUGAGGGUAGGCACAAAACAAGGCAAGGCCUGUGAUUGGUCAGUGAAAAAGAAAGGCAGGCUGAGAAUUUUAGAGACAGGACAGAGAGAUAGGAGAGAGGGGAGAAGGAAAGAAGAUGGAGGAAGAGAAGGACGACCCAGAUCUGUGUGACUUUUAAAUAGCCACAGGUAGCUAUGAAUAUCUUAUAAGGGAUAGAUAACUACAGGACAACUUGUCUUAUCUAGAUGGGCAGUUUAUAUCAAUAUCUAUUGGCUCUGAGUUUAUUGUGUGGACAUUUGGUGGGGUGAGAAUUUACUGAUAUAAAUCUGAUUGAUAAAUUAGAAGCCUCUACUUCUUCCUCGGUGCUGCCUGCGAGGUGGCUGCCCUCUAAUUGUGGCAUCAUGGCUGCCCUUUGGCCUCUGGUGAAGUCCAAGAUCGUCAAAAGAGGACCAAGAAGUUCAUCAGGCACCAGUCAAACAGAUAAGUGAAAAUUAAGCAUUACUGACAGAAACCCAGAGGCGUUGACAACAGGGUGAGGAGAAGAUUCAAGGGCCAGAUUCUGAUGCCCAACAUUGGUUAUAGGCCCAACAAGAAAGCCAAACACAUGUUCUGCCUAGCAGCUGCCAGACAUUUCUAGUCCACAGUGUGAGGGAGCUGGAAGUGCUUCGGUGCAACAAAUCUUCCUGGGCUGAGAUUGCUCUCGAUGUUUCCUCUAAGAACUGAAAAGCCAUCAUUUAAAGAGCAGCACACUGGUCAUCAGAGUCACCAAUCCCAGUGCCAGGCUACGCAGCGAAGAAAAUGAAUAGAUGGCUUGUGUGCUGUUCAAAUAAAUCCACACACACAAAAAAAAAGCAAGACUCUAGAGUUUUGAUUGUACUGGGAUACUGGGAAUUGUGACUAGAACCAGAGAGGGUGGAUGGCUGGGAAUGUGAGCAGAGUCUGCAGCAAGAAGGCUUUGAGAUUGGCAGUCUCUGCAUGGGGCUAAGCCAUAGAGGCAGAGAGACUGCUAGGGCCAGAAAGCAGUUAGCAUGGGAUGGUGUUUCCUUUUUUUUUUACUAUUUCCCGAUACAGUUAUAUUUGGAUAAUUUCGUCUGAGUUCAUUUACAGAUCUUUCUUAAAACAGAAUCCCAUUCCUUGCCCAGGCUGAUCUGAAACCAAUGUGAACCCUCAGUGGCCUUCAGCUGGCAGCAGUCUCCUGCCUCAGCCUUCCAAGUGUAAGGAUUACAGCAUGACUCAUCAUGCUCAACUAGACAUUAUCUGUCAAUGAACAACAACAAGAAUUAAAACCUCUUAGAGUUUCUAUAACAAACCCAUUCACUCAGCAACUUACAGAGCAACAACACCAACAAACAAAAACACCGAAACAGAUUCAACAAAGACAGGAAGCUAUUUUUCCAGUUUACUUGUUUACUGAGAUGGGACACAUCUUCUUCUCCACCACAGUGUCAAGCUCUCUCCGUAAGGGGCCCUUACUCGUCCUUGGGUAUCCAUUUUCAGGGAAUCCAGAAUGUUUUGCAGGGGAAAAAUCCUUCAUUUUAAUGAACUCCAACUUCUCUGUCAUGGAUACGUCUUUGGCGUUAUAUCUGAAAAGUCACUGCACUACCCUAGGUCACUUAGGCUUCCUCUGAUCACCCAAGAGUGUUGAGGCAUUAUAAUUUACCUUCAGGCUUAUGAUUUACUUUAAGUUAACAAUCUUCUUGGUAUUCUUUGAGAGCCCCAAAUCCACAGUUUCCUCAGUCGUAAUUAAUCUCUUGUAUGUCUAUCCUUUCAACUAAAUUCACUUGUAUGACUAAAGAAGACUCAAUUUGCCCACAUUAGGUUUUAGUUACUAAGCAGUACACCUCCCUGUACCACAUGAUCAUGGGAGUAACCACUUCCUGAUUUAUCUAUCAUCUCCAAAUCACAUUGAGAAGGCUAGGCUGACUCCAUAACAGGCUUCAAAUUGUCAGUUCAGGAGAGUAGGCCUAAAUCUCUGUUUCCAAGAAGUGUGCAAGUCCAAGCAAGUCAAGGCCUCAGAAGCUGCCCCAUCACUGGGGCUGAGGCAAGGACAAUGUGUCAGCAGCAAUUU
ensembl:lncRNA